rnacentral:lncRNA from 1 species
CUGAAAUCGCUCAGGCUGAGGAGAAAGAGAUGAGCUAUAAUCAUAAACAAAACUGGAAGGGAUAUAUCUAAAGAAUGGGCACAAACCAGAAGUGUAUUGAGUCUUAUAGAAACUACAGUCUAAAUUCAAAUAGGCUCAGCACUUGAUUGGAUUGAGGUGAUAACACUUGAAUCUUUAUGCUGCAUGAAGGAGAAGAGUGUAAAUGGCUGGAUUUUGGAGAGGUAUGAUGACUGCAUAAAAUACAGCAAGAAAAUUGUCCACCCAGGUGAUGCUGAGUGGCCACAGAUGAGUGAAAAUGCAAGCCGCAAAGAAUAACACCACCACUGCAAUGUGGGCUGUGCAGAGGGAGAGAGCCUUGGAUGCCCCAUCCUUAGAGUGAACGCUGACUGUAAACAGAAUAUAAAAGGAAGCGAUCAGCAACAGAAUGAAGCAGAUGGUUGCCAGUACUCCACUAUUAGCAUUUAUCAACAUUUCUAGAAUAUGGCUGUCCAUGCAGGCUAGCUUGAUCACCAAUGUUAUAUCACAGAAAAAGCUAUCCAGUUCCCUGGAUCCACAAAAGGGCAGCUUUAUAAUCACAGCUCAUUGCCUUAUUGAAUGCACAAAGCCAGUGAUCCAUGAUGUCAUCACUAACUCAAUGCAGAUUUAUCUGUUCAUGAUACUGGAGUCAUGGAGUGACUUGGCCACAUAUCGGUUGUAGGCCAUUGAUACAAGCCGCACCAUCUCGCCUGCUCCAAAGAAAUGUCCAAGGAAAAUCUGACACAUGCAGCCUCCAAAGGAGAUGGUCUUGUUUUCCUUGAGGAAGUCUAUGAUCAUUUUAGGUGUAGCGGCUGAGGAAAAGCAGAAGUCAAUGAAGGAAAGUUUCCCUAACAGGAUGCACAUAGGAGAGUGGAGAUGAAGGCCAGCAAUGAUUAGCUCAAUGAAGAUAUUGCCUAAAAAAGUGAUCCAAUAAAGAGAAAAAAAUAUCAGUAGGAGGAAGGCCUGGAGCACCCAUGAAUUACAAUGCCCAAGAAUAAUAAAUUCAGACAGUGCAGACUGGUUUACUUCUAUUUAGUCCAAUUUGUUCUAAAUUCAUCUGAAGAAAAGACAUGAAAAAUUAGAUUUUCUGAAUAAA